rnacentral:rRNA from 1 species
GAUCCUGGCUCAGGAUGAACGCUAGCGGCAGGCUUAAUACAUGCAAGUUGAACGGUAACAGAUCCAGCAAUGGAUGCUGACGAGUGGCGCACGGGUGCGUAACGCGUAUGCAACCUACCUUUAACUGAGGAAUAGCUCCGAGAAAUCGGGAUUAAUCCCUCAUAAUAUUUUUGAAAGGCAUCUUUUAAAAAUUAAAGUUUCGACGGUUAUUGAUGGGCAUGCGUGGCAUUAGUUUGUUGGUGAGGUAACGGCUCACCAAGACAUCGAUGCCUAGGGGGCCUGAGAGGGUGAUCCCCCACACUGGUACUGAGACACGGACCAGACUCCUACGGGAGGCAGCAGUAAGGAAUAUUGGGCAAUGGACGAAAGUCUGACCCAGCCAUGCCGCGUGCAGGAUGACGGCCCUAGUGGUUGUAAACUGCUUUUAUACGGGAAGAAAAGUCCCAACGUGUUGGAAUGUGACUGUACCGUAUGAAUAAGCAUCGGCUAACUCCGUGCCAGCAGCCGCGGUAAUACGGAGGAUGCAAGCGUUAUCCGGAUUCAUUGGGUUUAAAGGGUGCGUAGGCGGAUUGGUAAGUCAGUGGUGAAAUCCUCUCGCUUAACGGGAGAAUUGCCGUUGAUACUAUCAAUCUUGAGUACACUUGAAGUGGGCGGAAUGUGUCAUGUAGCGGUGAAAUGCAUAGAUAUGACACAGAACACCGAUUGCGAAGGCAGCUCACUAAAUUGUAACUGACGCUGAGGCACGAAAGCGUGGGGAGCAAACAGGAUUAGAUACCCUGGUAGUCCACGCUGUAAACGAUGAUCACUAGCUGUUGGCGAUACACUGUCAGCGGCUGAGCGAAAGUAUUAAGUGAUCCACCUGGGGAGUACGAUCGCAAGGUUGAAACUCAAAGGAAUUGACGGGGGCCCGCACAAGCGGAGGAGCAUGUGGUUUAAUUCGGAUGAUACGCGAGGAACACUCACCUAGGCUUAAAA